GCGGAGUAUCCAGGAGGGUGAGUAGACAAGCACCAGUGCAGAUCCUUGGGGAUGGGACAUAGUGAGGUGGGGUUGUGUUGGUGUCCACUAAGAGCUUCAAUUUUUUCACCUACGUGCACCUACUCAACCUGAAGGUAAGGUUCCCUUUUCUAUGUCUUUUCUCUGCCUUAGUUUAUUCCUGCUUUGCUUAAGUGCAUAUUGUGUGCUUGGCUGCUUGCACUGAUCAGAGAUGAAUGGCAGCUAAAGUUUUAAGUAUCUGGUCAGUGUCGGCGUAGAUGAUGGUGCCAUAUUAUUUGGAUUGCUAACUCGAAGACUGAGUAUUUAUAGAAGUGAAAUUUUUAAUGGAUUGUUUCAUGGAGCAGUUCUGUACCACUGGCCUUAAGUUCAUCAUGUUUCUCCCCCUCACUGGAUUGUUUCGAGUUAAAAUAACUUUAGUUGUAGGUUUCUGAGCUUUAUAGAGCAGUUCUGUAGCCUUGCAUUAAAAUAAAUACUAUGGCCUGGAUUUGUUUUGAUGUUCAUGUAUGCAUCCAUUAAUUUUGUAGCCAUCGUUUUUUUUCCUUUUGGACUUCACAUUGGUCGUUAUGCUUACGGAAUGUUUAGAGUCGUUUCAUUAGGAGCCUAAAUGGAUGUUAUAUAUUUAAAACGACGAUGCUUUAAAUGAUAUAGGGUCAAUUGGAGCAUCUCUCUUCACAACCUAUUUUUCUAGAUCAUUAUCUUUUCUUGAAUUAUGCAUGACAGGUCUUCAGAUGACAUUUUUGUUUAUGAGUCAAGCUGUACGAUCUCAAUAGCGGCGACCUAAUAGCCUCAGUCUACGAUCUGCAGGUCUUCAAACUACUACACCUCCAUAGGACCAAGAUAUAAGGAUGACCGUAAAUGCAGCCAUCUAAUUGCUGAAGCUUUAGAUCCCAGUGGAAAGAUAUCUUCGGCUCAAAUUUCUCGAAAGCUUACACAGCUAGGCCUCAGGAAUUCCAAGAAGAUGACAAAAGUUCCAGAGGCACCUCUCUCAGCUGAAGA